rnacentral:rRNA from 1 species
AGUGAACGCUGGCGGUAGGCCUAACACAUGCAAGUCGAACGGCAGCACAGUAAGAGCUUGCUCUUACGGGUGGCGAGUGGCGGACGGGCGAGGAAUACAUCGGAAUCUACUUUUUCGUGGGGGAUAACGUAGGGAAACUUACGCUAAUACCGCAUACGACCUACGGGUGAAAGCAGGGGAUCUUCGGACCUUGCGCGAUUGAAUGAGCCGAUGUCGGAUUAGCUAGUUGGCGGGGUAAAGGCCCACCAAGGCGACGAUCCGUAGCUGGUCUGAGAGGAUGAUCAGCCACACUGGAACUGAGACACGGUCCAGACUCCUACGGGAGGCAGCAGUGGGGAAUAUUGGACAAUGGGCGCAAGCCUGAUCCAGCCAUACCGCGUGGGUGAAGAAGGCCUUCGGGUUGUAAAGCCCUUUUGUUGGGAAAGAAAUCCAGCCGGCUAAUACCUGGUUGGGAUGACGGUACCCAAAGAAUAAGCACCGGCUAACUUCGUG